CUGUUCUCCCUCGGACGCCCUCCGUUUUCCCCCUUCUUCUCCAUCCCUCUGCCACCCUACCCCCAGCAAAUGAAUAAAUGAAUACAGUCUCUCCGGAAUCAGUGAUGUGCUCUCCAAAGAAUACAGGAGGCCCGGAUACCCUCGGAAAGCCCAGAGUUGACAUCAGCAGGUCACUAUCUUAGCUUACCUGUAAGACAUGGUUACCUGCAACCUUUUCCUGGGGCUGUGUCUUGACUGAGCGUCUCUUUGGACAUCCCCCAGCCCCCUCCCAACUCGUCCCAAGAGGACUCCGGUGGAAGACACGCCCGGCUAAGAGACAUUUUACUCCUGUCCCAGAGGGCUUCCUUAAGUGCAUCAUUAGAGUUUCAGGAAGGCAUUUCCAGGGCAACCUAAUCCACUAACAAAGUGCUUCCAGUUGAUCCUGCCAGUCAAUAAUGGUCCUGCCAACAGCUUACAGGGAAUGGAAGAAAGGAAAAGGAUGCUGGAACUCUAAGCACAUUUGUCCUUGGAGAUGGACAAUUAGUUGAUUUAAAAACAUACUCUCUGGCCUUAGAAAGUAGCUACACCUUUCAGAGGAUGAUGAAUGGAGGAAAACAAAUGAACAGGCUGGCUCGUUCAAAAUAUCUCACAUCAUUUUGCAGUGAUUCAGCACAGUCACUUUGGUGUAGCAAUUGUUUGUAAAAGGCAUUUUUCAUAAUGAAGUCCAAACAUGUCAUUCUCAUAGGUUGAAAUGAAUCUUACCAGUGGCAUCUGCAGAUGGGGCACAGCAGGAAGACAGAAGGACAAUGACCAAACAACAAAUGGAACAAUUUAGUUCAAGGAUCAAAAUUGAAUUUUUAUUAGAAGACUUGAGGAGUCAAAGCUGAGGAUUUCAUGUAGGCUCUAAAAUACCACUUGGUAUACAGAGCACUUUUCCCUGCUUUUUUGAGUGAUUUGCAAGAAAUCCACAGGGCAGGGAUCAUUUGUUAUUCAUCUUUCUAUCCAACCAAUAGCACAGGAACUCGUAUUUUGAAGGUGCUUAUUACAUAUUUGUUGAAUUUAAUUGCAGGAGCAAGAGUGUUUCUUCAGUUGGCCCAAUACAAUGAUAUGUUAAGAAGCUGAUGGGAUCAUAUUGGAAUGAGCUGUUGGUUGGGAAUAUAAGGCGGUCGAUUUCAGUUUCUUU
rnacentral:lncRNA from 1 species